rnacentral:rRNA from 1 species
AGUUUGAUCCUGGCUCAGAUUGAACGCUGGCGGCAGGCCUAACACAUGCAAGUCGAGCGGAUGAMGGGAGCUUGCUCCCUGAUUUAGCGGCGGACGGGUGAGUAAUGCCUAGGAAUCUGCCUGGUAGUGGGGGAUAACGUUCCGAAAGGAACGCUAAUACCGCAUACGUCCUACGGGAGAAAGCAGGGGACCUUCGGGCCUUGCGCUAUCAGAUGAGCCUAGGUCGGAUUAGCUAGUUGGUGAGGUAAUGGCUCACCAAGGCGACGAUCCGUAACUGGUCUGAGAGGAUGAUCAGUCACACUGGAACUGAGACACGGUCCAGACUCCUACGGGAGGCAGCAGUGGGGAAUAUUGGACAAUGGGCGAAAGCCUGAUCCAGCCAUGCCGCGUGUGUGAAGAAGGUCUUCGGAUUGUAAAGCACUUUAAGUUGGGAGGAAGGGCAGUAAGUUAAUACCUUGCUGUUUUGACGUUACCGACAGAAUAAGCA